rnacentral:rRNA from 1 species
GAUGAACGCUGGCGGCGUGCCUAAUACAUGCAAGUCGAGCGAACGGACGAGAAGCUUGCUUCUCUGAUGUUAGCGGCGGACGGGUGAGUAACACGUGGAUAACCUACCUAUAAGACUGGGAUAACUUCGGGAAACCGGAGCUAAUACCGGAUAAUAUUUUGAACCGCAUGGUUCAAAAGUGAAAGACGGUCUUGCUGUCACUUAUAGAUGGAUCCGCGCUGCAUUAGCUAGUUGGUAAGGUAACGGCUUACCAAGGCAACGAUGCAUAGCCGACCUGAGAGGGUGAUCGGGCACACUGGAACUGAGACACGGUCCAGACUCCUACGGGAGGCAGCAGUAGGGAAUCUUGCGCAAUGGGCGAAAGCCUGACGGAGCAACGCAGCGUGAGUGAUGAAGGUCUUCGGAUCGUAAAACUCUGUUAUGAGGGAAGAACAUAUGUGGAAGUAACUGUGCACAUCUUGACGGUACCUAAACAGAAAGCCACGGCUAACUACGUG